rnacentral:ncRNA from 1 species
GGAGAUUGGGUGAUAGGCCAAAGGGCGUUUUAGGGCCUUUGUUUUUUUAACGAAGGAAAUCCGCCCCAUUUAGAAAUGGUAUAAAUGCCCUUAGUGGGGCCAAUUUUUGUUAAGCCAGAAACUGGCGGAUGUGGAAUGAACCCAAAAGUCCGGGUUAAGGUUGCCCAGACAUUGGCGCUUCAUGAAAAUACCCAGAAAAAGGUGUUGGUCGAUAUAGACAGCAGGGACGGUGGCCAUGGAAGUUGGAAUCCGCCAAGGAGUGUGUAACAACUCACCUGCCGAAUCGACUAGCCCUGAAAAUGGAUAGCGUUUGAGCUCCAGGCCCAUACCUGACCGUCUCAAUUACGCACUUUUUUUUCGGAAAAGGUGUAAUGAACGUUGAGACGGGUAGGAAGGUCGCGACAGUGUUGCUUUGAAGAGUUUUGAGCGUGAGCUCGCUCGGAGCCGCUGUUGGUGCAGAUCUUGGUGGUAGUAGCAAAUAUUCAAGUGAGAACCUUGAAGGCUGAAGUGGAGCAAGGUUCCAUGUGAACAGCAGUUGGACAUGGGUCAGUCGAUCCUAAGAAAACGGCGAAAGCUUGUUCGAAUUUGCGACAUGAAUUGUAAGACUGAAUAAUUAUUUGUGUGUGUGUUGUGGUGGAGGCGAUUGUGUCGUCACCAGUUGUUGUUGUGUGCAGUUGUCGUAUGUUUUCGAAAGGGAAUCCGGUUGAUAUUCCGGAACCGAGUAACGGAGACAAAGAGUAGCGCUUUAAUCUCUCUGUGGGGUUGGCGUUCAACUCAAUCGCGCGGUAACGCAAGCGAACUCGGAACAACCCGUUCUCAAUGUGUCUUGAGUUUCGAAAAGAGUUU